rnacentral:sRNA from 12 species
CCUUUGGAGAACUAUCUAAACAAGAGUAGUAACUAUAUAUUAUGAAAUUGGGUUCAUUGAAUAAGGAA